AAAAACAUCGCCUCCUGCCAAACCCUAAGCAUAGGAGGUCCAGCCUGCCCAGUGACUACACAGUUCAACGGCCGCGGUAUUUUGACCGUGCAAAGGUAGCGCAAUCACUUGUCUUUUAAAUGAAGACCUGUAUGAAUGGCCAAACGAGGGCUUAACUGUCUCCCCUUUCAAGUCAAUGAAAUUGAUCUAUCCGUGCAGAAGCGGGUAUAAAAAUACAAGACGAGAAGACCCUUUGGAGCUUAAGGUACAAACCCACCCACGUCAAACAACUUAACAAAAAGCACGAACUUAAUGGAAAUUGGGAUAUUACCUUCGGUUGGGGCGACCACGGAGGAAAGAAAAGCCUCCGAGUGGACUGGGAACAUUCCCAAAGCCAAGAGAAACAUCUCUAAGCCACAGAACAUCUGACCAACUAUGAUCCGGCCACAAGGCCGAUCAACGGACCAAGUUACCCUAGGGAUAACAGCGCAAUCCUCUCCCAGAGUCCAUAUCGACGAGAGGGUUUACGACCUCGAUGUUGGAUCAGGACAUCCUAAUGGUGCAGCCGCUAUUAAGGGUUCGUUUGUUCAACGAUUAAAGUCCUACGUGAUCUGAG
rnacentral:rRNA from 1 species